UACGGUAGGGUGCAAGCGUUGUCCGGAAUUAUUGGGCGUAAAGAGCUCGUAGGCGGUUUGUUGCGUCGGCUGUGAAAUCCCGAGGCUCAACCUCGGGUCUGCAGUCGAUACGAGCAAACUAGAGUGUUGGCAGGGAGACUGGAAUUCUGGUGAUAGCGGUGAAAUGCGCAGAUAGUCAGGAGGAACACCGGUGGCGAAGGCGGGUCUCUGGGCGAAACAACGAUGACGCUGGAGGAAGCGGAAAGACAUUGGGGAGCGAACAGGA
rnacentral:rRNA from 1 species